CACUGAAGAAGGCACAGCCAAGCACCAAGAGCAUAUUCGAUAAAAUGGAACCCAACAAGGACUGUUUAACAACCCGCAUCAUUCCAUUGUUCAGUGCAUAUAAUGAGAUUAUCAUUUCAGUUGCAUUGCCAAAUGUAGCAUUCAGAAGGCCCCCAACUAUAAAUCAGGAAAACAUUUUGUGAUAAGAAAAUGAGAAACACAUGGUUGGGGGAAACAUGGGCUCCCACAAAAUCGAUACACUCAGGAAAAAAAUUAGUAUGCUGAUAAGAAAAUGAGAAACAGGUGGUUGGGGGAAUCAUGGGCUCACACAGAACAUAUACACCCACGUGCAACUGACUCGUUUCAUAAAUACAGAUGUACAGUAUCAAAACAUGAUGCACUAUUCCAGCAAAGGACAAUGAGACGAACUUCAAGCACAUAAAAGCACAAAAC
rnacentral:lncRNA from 1 species